rnacentral:rRNA from 1 species
CAGUCGCCGCGGGAAUACAGAGGGUGCGAGCGUUAAUCGGAUUUACUGGGCGUAAAGCGCACGCAGGCGGUCUGACAAGUCAGAUGUGAAAUCCCCGGGCUUAACCUGGGAACUGCAUUUGAAACUGUCAGGCUGGAGUCUUGUAGAGGGGGGUAGAAUUCCAGGUGUAGCGGUGAAAUGCGUAGAGAUCUGGAGGAAUACCGAUGGCGAAGGCAGCCAUCUGGCCUAAUACUGACGCUGAGGUACGAAAGCAUGGGGAGCAAACAGGAUUAGAUACCCGUGUAGUCCCUGUCUCUUAUAC